CUUCUUAUAGGUCAGUACACAAUAUUGGAAUAUUUCACUUCUUAACAGCUGGCGUUGUCUACUAUAAUUUAUGCAAGUAUGAUGCAUAUUGAUAAUUGUCUUGAUAUGAAGCGGAAGUCUAAUUUCCAGAAAUAUAAGGGCUACUGUGCCAAUUGUUCGUGAAUGAAAGAGAAGAAUUAAAAACAAUAGCUUGGAUUUUUAAUUCAUAAAACGUACAAUCUGGUACAGAAUUCGAACAUCAAUUACACCAAAAGCAACCAAAAAUAAAAGGAAAAAGCAGAAUUGAAAAACACAAAAAAAAAAUGUUAUAAAAUUCGUCCUUGAAUAAUAGUGAAUAAUAAGUGAAAUAAAAUUUGUAUUUAUCAUUUUCAUUCAAUUCCUUUCCUCCUUCAUUAUUUCAUAAUAUAAUUUUGUACAACAUUACUUACUUAUUCAACCAAAAUUAUAUUAAAAGUAUAAAAAAAAUUAAUACAAUAUAAAAUAUUAAAGAAAAAAAAAUAAUAAAUAAAUUUUAAGAAUUCCAAAAUCAAAAAAGAAAAAUCCAAAUGGAAAUUCAAAUAAGAUUCGAAUUUUUUUUAUCAGAAAAAACCAUUAAAAGUGUUCCAAUUCCCAGUUAAUAGAUCCAAACAUUUUUUUCCUAAAAUUUCGAAAUAAAAUAUUAAAGGAACUACAAGCAACAUAACAUCAAUAACAUCAUCCACAUCAUCAUCGACACAACAACACAUAUCAACGGAAUAUCAACGGAAAAGAAAAAAAUUAAGAAAGAAAAAUCAUAACAGCAAACAAAAUAAAAGAAAGCAAAAAGAAUAAUAAUAACAAAAAAUAAUAAUAAAAAAAAAAAAUAAAAAUAGGAAAAUUAAAAAAGAAAAAAAUUGAAAUAUUUUGAAAAUUAAGUGAAAUGAAAAAUAUAAAAAGAAAAACCAUUUUAUUAAAUAAUAGAAAAAAUGUCAUCAAUAAUCGAUAUUUUUUACAAAAAUCGAUUUAUAACAGGACAAAAAAUCAUAUAUCACUAUUUUAUGACUUAACGACUUUUUACUUAUGGUGGUUAUUUGGUACAUGUUUAUUGUGCUUUUUAACAAAUGAUAUGAAAUCAAUUAUGGUUAGUGGAGCAUAUUCAGAGACUGAUGAACUUAUCAAUGAAUUGGAUAGACCAGGUAAGAAUUUAAUUUUUUUAUUCGACUAUUAAUAAUAUUUAACAUUUCAAUAGUUUGGUAGACAGAAAGUGUAAAUAAAAAUAAUUUAAAAUAUUCGAAAACACAAUCACAGCAAAAUAUCCAUGACAAUUAAGCCGUUUUAAUCGACAUUCGUUACAAACAACUGCAGAGAAGAUUUCAAGUUCAGUACUGUCGAAAAAAUGUAUAUACUCUAGGUUCAAAAUGUAUAUGAAUACUUAAUACACAACUUUUAACAUACUUUGUAGGACAAAAACAACCAAAACAAAAUUUUGUAAAUUCAAUGUUCUCGUUUCUACUGCUUAAUAAAAACAGUAUUUUUACUAGUUUAAAUGUAUGAUACUGUAAAACGUUCGAUAUACGGUCAAUUAUAUAAUAAAUUAAUAUAUAUAUAUAUAUUUUGUCCAAUUUUGUCACUAGCUUUCCGUUUAAGUCAUACAUGACAGUUUUCGAAAAUUGUUCAAAUUACUGUUUAAAAUUCUAACAUAACAUAAAAAAUUCAAUUUUUAUUAGCUUUUUCAAUUUCAAC